CGGGGUGUGGCGCAGUUGGCUAGCGCGCGCGGUUUGGGACCGCGAGGUCGCCGGUUCGAGUCCGGCCUCCCCGACCA
rnacentral:tRNA from 1 species